rnacentral:rRNA from 1 species
GGACCCGACCGCUAUUGGGAUGGGAUUAAGCCAUGCAAGUCGCGCGUCCCUAGCUAUGAUGGGAAGCGGCGAAAAGCUCCGUAACGUGUAGUUAACCUACCCUCAGGACGGGAAUACCUUCGGGAAACUGAAGAUAAUUCCCGAUAGUUGAUUAGGCCUGGAAUGGUUUUUCAUCCAAAGGUAUCGUCUCAUGCGAUGAUAUCGCCCGAGGAUGGGACUGCAUCUGAUUAGCUUGUUGGUGGGGUAACGGCCCACUAAGGCGAUAAUCAGUACGGGCUGUGAGAGCAGUAGCCCGGAGAUGGAUACUGAGACAACGAUCCAGGCGCUACGGCGCGCAGCAGGCGCGAAACCUCCGCAAUGCACGCAAGUGUGACGGGGCCAUCCCAAGUGCCAUCCGAUAAGGGUGGCUUUUGCCCAGUGUAAGUAGCUGGGAGAAUAAGGGGAGGGCAAGGCUGGUGCCAGCCGCCGCGGUAAAACCAGCUCCUCGAGUAGUCGGGAGUAUUAUUGGGUCUAAAGCGUCCGUAGCCGGCCCUGUAAGUUCCUGGUCAAAUCCAGCGGCCUAACCGUUGGUUCGCUGGGGAUACUGCAGGGCUUGGGAACGAGAGAGGCCAAGGGUACUUAUGGGGUAGGGGUGAAAUCCUGUAAUCCCAUAGGGACCACCGGUGGCGAAGGCGCUUGGCUGGAACGUGUCCGACGGUGAGGGACGAAAGCCAGGGGAGCGAACCGGAUUAGAUACCCGGGUAGUCCUGGCUGUAAACGAUGCGGGCUAGGUGUUUGCGUGGCUACGGGCUGCGCAAGUGCCGUANAGAAGUCGUUAAGCCCGCCACCUGGGGAGUA